rnacentral:rRNA from 1 species
UACGAAGGGGGCUAGCGUUGCUCGGAAUCACUGGGCGUAAAGGGUGCGUAGGCGGGUCUUUAAGUCAGAGGUGAAAUCCUGGAGCUCAACUCCAGAACCUGCCUUUGAUACUGAGGAUCUUGAGUUCGGGAGAGGUGAGUGGAACUGCGAGUGUAGAGGUGAAAUUCGUAGAUAUUCGCAAGAACACCAGUGGCGAAGGCGGCUCACUGGCCCGAUACUGACGCUGAGGCACGAAAGCGUGGGGAGCAAACAGG